GUGCAACAACCAGUUAUAAAACAGUUGAAAAACAACUGGAAGAGAUCAAAGGAGGAAGGACGUUUGAAAUGUACAGUAAUAAGGAACAGCUCAGGGACCAGUUUAUCUGUAUUGCUUCAGCUCAGUAAAGCUGAUAUGAAUCAUAGAAUUGUAGUGUCAUAGAAUGUUUUGGGUUGAAAGGGAUCUUUAAGAUCAACUAAUUCCAACCCCCUGCUACAGACAGGGACACCUCCCUCUAGACCAGGUUGCUCACAGCCCCAUCCAGCGUGAGCUUGAAUGCUUCCAGGGAGGGGGCAUCCGCAACCUUGUUUGGCAACAUAUUCCAGUGUCUCACCGCCCUCAAGGAAUAAUAGGCCUUCUUCCUACUGACAUGGAUUCUCAGAUGGAUCAGUAAUUCAUGUGGCAUUAUCAUCCUGUGAAGAGAAGCCUUGGAAGAGCAAAACAUUGAAACAGAUAAAAGACCUGGAAGAUCCUGUUAUCCUGUCUUUGGCAAGCAAUGGUAUUGCAUCCCAGGUGAUUUUAAGCUAACAGACUGUCCGCCAGAAGUUGAACAAUAUCAUCUGUCACUUCAAAGCGCUCUUGUGUACGACUUAUCUUACCCUGGCAGAAAGAGGAUUCUUGACCAAAUGAAGAACUCUGAUCAGAGUGCCCUAUUUCCUUGUUUAAAAGGAUAGCAAAUUCUUUAGGGGAUAAGAAUGAAGCAUUCCUAAGGACUUACUGCGCUGCUGCCCUUCAGAAGGUGUAUUUUUAACAGUGUUGCUCUACUGAAUUCUCAGAAGAGGUGAAUGGAUUUCAGUGACUUGCAUGAUGACAGAAAAUGCUCCUCUGUGUGGCUGUGUGGCUACACAAACUCCAUCUGACAUCCGCUUCUGCACACCAACAGAUGCAGGAUGAAUGCUGUCUACUGCUGACUGACUUAUACAGAACAAUCAGAUGACUUGCACAUAUUGGCGAAGAAUUAUAAGAACUUUAGGAACAGAAUGACAACUAGAGCCAAAAACGAUUAAUAAAAAAUGCUCUAUGGGAAAAUAAUCAUUCUCUAUUACAGGAGAAUUAUAAUAAAUAUCAGAUUGAUCUUUCUUGCUCCUAAGCUGCAAAAGAAUGCUCAGUCUUUGGAAAAUGUGCUAAGUUGCUAAUUUGAACUUUGCAAAUUUCUUUGUAUCAGCAGCCUGGGAAAAGCUGUGCAUGAUUUGUACACAUACACACAAACAUACACACAAACAUAGACACAAACAUACACACAAACACACAUAUUUCAGCCAUUUUAUUUUCUGCAUACUUGAUUAACUUUACUUGGGAGAGAUUUGUUCUUUCUCUGUUUUGUCUGUGCGUGAGGAAAUGAUUCUAAGUAUUUUCUGCAAGCUCUUCCUUCCAAAUCAGUUAACAUUUUUUUCAGAUAUAUAAGAGAAAUUUGCUUUGUGAAUUAUUUGAUUCAUAAAUUCUUUUUAUGUGAUUUCAAUUAAUGCAGCCGCUAAACAACUCAUCAUGCUCGAUGUGAUUUUAUUUACUCUUGGCAGGGGGAGAAAUAUCCCGUCUUUGUUUAACUCUAAGAUAAAUGAAUCAGACCAAGUAGAUUGUUUGCCCAAGGUCAGAAAGAUACAGGUACAGCAGGAAAGUAGGUCCAAGGCACAUAGCUCCCAUGUAGGUAGACUAAUCGGUCAACUAUAUUGCCCCUCUGAUAGCCUGAAAAAGUAUAUCCCAAUGAACUGUUAGGAAAAAAAAAUAGUCCUAACUUGCACAUAUUCAGAAUUCCCAUCAAACUUGUAGAAAGAUUUUCUAAUAUUUUUCAAUGAUGUCUAUAAAUCAAGAUGUCAUCUAGACAAAUGAUGACACAUGCAUCCACCAAAUGGUGAGAAACUGUCAUUCAUUAAUGCCAUAUAGACAGACGGUACAUUUGUCAGUCCAGAACAGUGAGACUAAGAGUCAUCUAUUCUUACAGCUCAUAGUAAUGACACCUUGUUCCGCCGCUCUUUUGUACAGUUUCAUUUUUAACUUCUUUCCCCACCUAAUAAUACUCACAGUGUUGCUCUAACUCCGUGAAACACAGUAAUCAUUUCAAACCAAAAAUUUGAAAAAUGUUAAAACAUUUAAAUGUACAUAAUGAGAUACAGUACAAAGCAGUGAUUAUUUCUGCAUUAUUGCAAGGAGGUGGCACUUCUAUUACAAGGAUAGUCUCCCAAAACUCAUGAUGGCUUCCCCAUCUAUAUUAUCCUGAAUCAUGGGUUUAAAUUGAAGCAGAAUCUAUAUAUAGUGAAUUAUUUCUUCAACUACAUGAAACUUAUUCUGUCGGAGUCUUCAAAAAUACCUUAAAAUCAUAUAUUCUCAUUAAGCAGGUCCUUCACAGAUUUCACUACUUAUUUUUUUUUUUUUUUUGUAAGGUAAGGUCUGAUAUCUACCUCAAAUUGUUGGCAUGUUUUUGUAAAGCUGUCUUGAAAAAAAAAAAAUAGGGAAGACAGUUCAGCCACAAAAAAAAAAAAAAAAAAAAAAAAAAAGUGGACAUAAACAUCUUCAUAAAUUGUUCUAGGCAUCAGUAUAUGGGGAUUUAAAGGGUUAAAAAGGAGGGGAAUAAACUUUUUACUCAGGUAGACAGUGAUAGGACAAGGGGGAACAAUUUUAAGCUCAAGGAGGGAAGGUUUAGGUUAGAUGUCAGGGGGAAGUUCCUCACAGAGGGAAUGGUGAUGUGCUGGAGCAAGCUGCCCAGAGAGGUUGUGGAUGCCCUGUCCCUGUAGGUGUUCAAGGGCCAGGUUGGAUGGGGCCCUGGGCAGCCUGGUCUAGUACCAGAUCUGGAGGUUGGUGGGCCUGCCUGUGGCAGGGGCAGUGAAAGCUGAUGAUCCUUGGGAUCCCUUCCAAGCCAAGCCAUUCUAUGAUUCUACGAUAUGAUUAGUUUCACUGUAAUCAUGAGGCAAAACAGUCACACCUGGUACUCACACUGGCCUAGAAAAGCAUAAGUUCUUCUCACUUAACCAAAUAUCUAUCUGGAGACAGUUAGUUCAUACAGGACAAUGUAAUUUGCUCAUCUUCCCUACACUAACUGUCUUCUCCUUCAUCAGUAAAGUAAAAAAUACUAAUGUUGUAGGAUAAAUAAAAGACCAUAACCUCUUCAGACAGUGUGGGAGGUGAGAUAUUAACGUCUCUGGGGCAGCUCCAUCUUAUCAAUACCAGAAUGAGUAAGUAGAGAACCCCAUCCCAAGGAGAUAUUCUAAUCUUCACAAACAACAUUUCCAUUUUGUUUAUUUUCAGGAAUUACACUAUAUUCCCUCAUGAUACCAUUUUGACAGGAGACCUUUACUUGCUGCUCCCUUGCAUCUUUCUUUCAGUUUAUCUCCUAUUGCUUCUGUCAGAGUUGGUGACAAAAGCUUGAUGGAGGGAGAGAAGAGAUACCGAAUUUUCUUUGUCUCAGAAUAGUCUCUCUGCUGCAGCAGCUUAUCUUCUGCUUUGUGAGGUAUCUGGACCAAUAUACAAUGCUUAUAUUGAAGAGGCAAAUGGUGAACAACAGAAGUUAAUCUUUUCAGCUAUAAAUUUCUUCAUCUUGUUCAUUAUGGAAAAAUCCUCUUACUUCAAUGAAUUUCCAGACUUUUAUGACACUGUCACCCUGCAGCUGGUGACUGUUGAAGUAGCAGCAGUGUAAAACUGUUGCUAACAAAGAGAAGAUCCAAAUUGUAAAGUAUUGAAUUAAAAGGUAUGAUGUUUUCAUUCAAAGUACUCUGUGGCACUUCAGCUCUCCCUCAAAGUAUUGCUUGAUUUGCAACAUGUGUAGAGUGAUGUAAAUCUACAGUAGCUCCACUGCCCUCAUUAAAGCUAUGCCAUAAUACAGUAACAUGACUACUUCUCCUACGUUGUAGUGUGCAUGAAUUCCGAUCUGCUUUAUAAAUUAUGAAUGGAAUGGGAAUUCUGUUUUUUAUUAAUACAUAUUUUACCACAAGUGCUGAUUAGGAGGAGACUUUUUCUAUAAUUCCUUUCCUUUUAAAAUUGUAAUGCAAACAGCUUCUCAGAACCAUUGCUCCAGUUUCAGAAAGUGAUAAUUAAAGAGGCACUCUAAAUUUCCCCACAGGUUCAUUGGGAACUAAAAUGGGCAAGACAUGCAAAGACAGUAGUGAAACAAGCCAAGGAAGGAAUUGUUCAGAAUGGACAACUAAUGCUCAUUUGCAGUGCUUUGGUAAUAAUUUUCCUUUUCACUUUUUAGAUUUUUGUUUUAUUUUAAUUCAAAGAGAAAUACUGAGUUACUCUUUGGUAAGGAGUUAUUGCAAGAGUGUCCUCAUGGUUCAGUCAAACCCACCAUUUCAGAGAAGGGUAAAAGAUGAAGUAAAUAAGUAAUAAAUAAAAUAAGAUAAAGUCAAAACAUAGAAAACAGCUGUGACUGUGUGGACAGACAGUGAAGAAAUGUGUGAGCAGAGGUAGGUGAAUGAAAAUACUGAUCAUGGUCUGGAGGCAUAAAAAUUAUCCCCACGGUUAAAUAGGGCAGUUAUUGCUCUACCUUAAGAGGACUACAUCAGCUAUACUACAAAGCGACACUAUUAUAGCCAUGAAAACCUAAAGCAAUUAGAGUGUCAAAGUUGGUUGAUAUGAUAUGUCUCAAACUGUUUAAAUUGUUUCAAAAUAUUUGUGUAUCACUACAACUUAUUAAGCAGUGUCUUUAUAUAUGACACCCUCUACACCUGACUGAAAGCACAUAAGCAGUUAAGAGCAGCUUUUUUUUCUAAUCAGAGGUGUAGCAGCUGCUGAAAAAUAUAAGUAAAUCUGUGACGACCAGUAAUUCUAUAUUUCCUAGCUAUUUGAAAAUGCAUUAUCCAUUUCUAUCAGUUUUCAUUUAGGGUCUAGGCAUAGAAUACUCACAGAAAAAAAUAUAUACAUAAUAAUAAUAAAAAAUCAAACUGUUAGUUCCCUCCAGCAAUGAGACUAAUUUAUUUCCUGAGUAUUUUUACCUGAAUAUCCUUCAACUUUCUCCAGUUUCCAGAAUCGUUUCCUUCCUUCCUUCUCACAAACUGCAUUCUCUCUGCCUUCUGAACAUUUAUUUUUCCCCAAGCUAAACUUAAGUUGAUCAGAGAGGUUUCUGAGACGAUUGGUUCCGAUUAUGUCAUAUUCAUCCUUCUGACUUACCAAUAUGACAUUCUUAAUUGUCAUCAGUACUCUGACAUAUUCUUAUCACUUAGAAGCAUUUAGAUCCAAAAGGGAAAUAAAGAGGUCCCAUUUAAGCUUCUGACUGCAUUGAGUUUGAGUGUAUGGUAGCCCCACACAGCCAAUAAUACACAAUCACACUGGAGUGAGCUACUCUGUGAGGUAACAGAUUCUUAGUCGUGUGCCAGCAAAUCUAGCUAUGCUGCUACAAAUUUGUUAUUUUCAGUAAUCAAAAUGGAUGAAAAAUAUAUGAAAAAAUGGUGUGUCAUUUUUGUAAUCAGUUUUUAUUACAGCAUACGUAUGUACUAAGUGUACAGUUUAAUUUCUAGCAGCCAGAGAGAAUGUUAUUGCACCCAAAGAGAAGUUGGAGAAAGAGAAGAUGUGCACAAGAAAAGCUUUGCUUCUUUUUUUCUUCUACAAUCACCUGACCAAUAAGGAUCAUCUCAUGUACUCUUGGCAGGGAUUUCAUGUUGCUGAUAUAGUCCAUGGCAAUCUGUCAUCACUUACAGAGAAUGAAUAAAUUCAGAUGCACAGGGAAUAAAACAGGUGGUGAAGUGCUUGCUCCUUCAGCUUCCAGUUGCCAUAUUUCGUCUUUUGUUGUUGUUGUUGUUGGAGGUGGUGGUAGUGGUGGUGGUGGUUUGUCUGUUGUAUAGAAAUAUCUGUGAAUUUUCCAUUAAAAAAUUAUAAAGUUAAAUAAAUUAGAAUAAACUCUGGGAUAAUAGAUAAACAGAUUGCUUGUGUACACAUAGUAAAUCUGAUAUUCCUUCUUACAAAAAUGUUACAAUCAUGUGGUUAAGUCCAUUUCUUGGAAGCAUCAGACAUACUGUAGAGAGAUUCAUUUAAUUAAAUUUAAAUGCAGAUGUCUGCACCUGAACUAGCCACCCUAGACUCCCUUUAAACUCAAUAGAGAGAAAUGAGAGUUUCUAGUGUGCAAUUCAUCUCGUCCUAAAGUACAUGUCUGAAAUAGAUCAAAUGAAUUGCACAUAAAAGUGCUUAUUCUCUCCAUCAACUAUAAAAGAAUACUAAGAAACUAGCCCUGCUGUAGAUGUCUACAUUGCAGAUAUCUAGAGUGUGAUUGAUUUCAUGCUAUUUUAUAUAUUUAAAUAGUGGGUGAACAUAAUAUGCUGUUAUAAGAUGUAGAGUUUAGAGAUUAAUUCAGCCAAUCAAAUGAAACUGUGUAUUUUAUUAAGAGGAGGAAAAAAAAAACAAAACAAAACCUUUGCUAAACUUAUGUAAGAUGAUCAGACAACAUUACCCUGGGGUGAGUUUUCAGUCAGGUUCCAAAGCAGUUCAUGAAGACAGUCUCAAUGUCAUCUACUGUUUCAAAUUGGCCCUUAUUAUGAGGUUUACUUUUUCUUACAGCCCAACUCAACAGUUUUGGCACAAGACAUGGACUUGAAGCAUGAGUUGUCCAUCUCUGGGCAAGGGACCUGAUGUUGCACAAAAGAAAUAAAGAAUUCAUUCAAGGGCAUCCAACAGUGUAACGAGAUAAUUACUCUGUCAAAACCAACAGGUAAAGGUGGGGGAAACAUAAAUGAAACAUAUCCUCACAUUAAAUACGUUUUUGUUCCCAAAAUCGUGUUGAAAGUGCUUUACCUAGAAUCAUACUAAUGAACAAACCAAGAAAUUGAUUCAUUGGAAAACUUAGAUGCUUAAUUUCAAACUUUGAGAUGCCAGAAAAUAAUCACUUCCUAAAGAAGUUUAGUGGAUGUCAGCAAAAAAUAUUUGCUUCCUUUUGACAGCAUUUUAACUCUACUUCAAUAGCUGAUUUAACUUCAAUCUGCUGCUAUAAUAUGUUUCAGCACUUUCUUGGUUUAAAGUAUUGGAGUGUCAGUGCUGUGCAAUUUAUCCAGAUUUUUCUCUAACACACAAUUAAAUUGCCCAGCAAUUAUGUAAGUAUAACAUUUUCUGAAGUUCCUUUAAAAAAAUACAAGAGAAAUGCAUGAUUACCCGUAUUGGUGACAUGUAUAGUAAGAUUAAUAGGAGUAAAGGCAAAACUAUUAGUGGUAUAAUUGGCAACAGAAAAUCUUCCAUUUUUAUUGGUAAAUGUUUGAUAUGUUUUAUAAAUCAAAACACUUCUAAUCAAAAUUGUUGUUCCACAUAUUUUUGGGCGAACUGAAGAAUGUAAAAUUUGAUUAAUUCACCUCUUUUUACUGUAUGUGUUAUCAGCUGACAAUGAAUGUGUUGCAAAAAAAAAAAAAAAAGACAAAUUGUAUUUCUUUGUCUUUUUUAUAAAUUUGCUAUAUUUAUCCAUGUCAGUCCUUAAUGACAAUCCAUAUUGCUUUAGCUUGUCACCCAGAGUAAAUUUCACAAAUAUUCUUUAGGACUACUGCCAAUCAAAUAAUGUUAUACAAUUGCAGAUACUUAUUUAUUUAUAUUCUAUAGCAUCAUUUCAUACAUGUUACCAUUAAAAUAAUUAAAUGGCUUUUUGACUCACUGAAUUAAAGGUAAUAACAACAGAUUAAAAAAGAAUAAAGAAUACAAGCUUAUAAAAUUUAUUGUAAUUUAUUCAACAGAUGCUGCCCAAGAUGAUGAUGUGCUUAACUAGUUACAAAUGGGAAGUUUUAAGAGAGUUGUAAAUAUUCUGAAUUCAGAUUUUAAUAUUUUAAUAAUUAUUAUUAAAAAAAAAAAAAAGAAAAGUAGAAAGUACAAGAGAAGAACAUUAGACUUCACACAGAAUGUUCUUUCUUUCCUGAGUUACUCAGCCAAAACCAUCCCUAAGAGAGAAAGAGCAGACUUAGAAAAAUCUCAGGAAGAAAAAAAUAUUUUUUCUUCCCUUUUCUUCUUAUCACAUUAAUGAUUUG
rnacentral:lncRNA from 1 species